rnacentral:rRNA from 1 species
GACGAACGCUGGCGGCGUGCCUAAUACAUGCAAGUAGAACGCUGAAGGAGGAGCUUGCUUCUCUGGAUGAGUUGCGAACGGGUGAGUAACGCGUAGGUAACCUGCCUGGUAGCGGGGGAUAACUAUUGGAAACGAUAGCUAAUACCGCAUAAGAGUAGAUGUUGCAUGACAUUUGCUUAAAAGGUGCAAUUGCAUCACUACCAGAUGGACCUGCGUUGUAUUAGCUAGUUGGUGGGGUAACGGCUCACCAAGGCGACGAUACAUAGCCGACCUGAGAGGGUGAUCGGCCAAAAUGGGACUGAGACACGGCCCAGACUCCUACGGGAGGCAGCAGUAGGGAAUCUUCGGCAAUGGACGGAAGUCUGACCGAGCAACGCCGCGGGAGGGAAGAAGGUUUUCGGAUCGUAAAGCUCGGUUGUAAGAGAAGAACGAGUGUGAGAGUGGAAAGUUCACACUGUGACGGUAUCUGACCAGAAAGGGACGGCUAACUACGUG